GAGUUGGAUUUCCAAGUUCUCAUUUGUUUGUUUCUGUUCAUCUAGAGAUCCCUGGAACUCACAGAUCCGAUUCAAGAAAUCUUCAAGUUGAAAUGCUCAAGCCUUGUGAGCUAGAGGAGAACAAACCUGUGUGCAAAAUACUCCUUCAACUCUUGGUCAUAGACAACAUCAGGUUUCUGGAAAAGCAAGUUAAGCAAUGGAUCCUGGCACACUCGGAACAAGGCCAUUACUCACAUUCUAUCUUCUCUCUGGAAUGGACGACCUGCUCC
rnacentral:lncRNA from 1 species